rnacentral:rRNA from 1 species
UACAGAGGUCUCAAGCGUUGUUCGGAUUCAUUGGGCGUAAAGGGUGCGUAGGCGGCGCGGUAAGUCGGGUGUGAAAAUCUCGGGGCUUAACUCCGAAACUGCAUUCGAUACUGCCGUGCUUGAGGACUGGGAGAGGAGACUGGAAAUUUACGGUGUAGCGGUGAAAUGCGUAGAUAUCGUAAGGAAGACCAGUGGCGAAGGCGGUCUCUGGACAGUUCCUGACGCUGAGGCACGGAAGGUCAGGAGCAACGG